rnacentral:rRNA from 1 species
UACGAAGGGGGCUAGCGUUGCUCGGAAUUACUGGGCGUAAAGCGCACGUAGGCGGAUUGUUAAGUCGGGGGUGAAAUCCUGGAGCUCAACUCCAGAACUGCCUUCGAAACUGGCGAUCUUGAGUCCGGGAGAGGUGAGUGGAACUGCGAGUGUAGAGGUGAAAUUCGUAGAUAUUCGCAAGAACACCAGUGGCGAAGGCGGCUCACUGGCCCGGUACUGACGCUGAGGUGCGAAAGUGUGGGGAGCGGAACAGG